rnacentral:rRNA from 1 species
AUUGAACGCUGGCGGCAUGCCUUACACAUGCAAGUCGAACGCGAAAGGGGGCAACCCUGAGUAGAGUGGCGAACGGGUGAGUAAUGCAUCGGAACGUGUCCCGUAGCGGGGGACAACCCAGAGCAAUCGGGGCUAAUAUCGCAUACGCCCUACGGGCGCAAGUGGGGAUCGGAAGGCCUCAAUACCUAUGGCAGGCCGAUGCCGGAUCAGCUAGUUGGUGGGGUAAGAGCCCACCAAGGCGCCGAUCCGUAGCUGGUCUGAGAGGAUGACCAGCCACACUGGGACUGAGACACGGCCCAGACUCCUACGGGAGGCAGCAGUGGGGAAUUUUGGACAAUGGGCGCAAGCCUGAUCCAGCCAUGCCGCGUGUGUGAAGAAGGCCUUCGGGUUGUAAAGCUCUUUCGGCCGGGACGAAAUCGCUCUCGCUAAUAUCGGGAGUGGAUGACGGUACCGGAAUAAGAAGCACCGGCUAACUACGUGCCAGCAGCCGCCGUAA